CUUCCUAUAGGGACUGAAAACCAAGUGAAGAGAUGAAGGAUUGCACCGUACUACACCAGAGAAUACAGAGAGGAUAGACAUUGCAGAUAGAUUCUGACCAUCCCCCAGGGAACAACUGUACAACUGUGGGAAGACAUCCAGUCCCUUCACAGCAUUGCUUAACACACAGAAGGUUGGGCAGUGAAACCAUCAUCUGGAAGUCGGGUCGGGUCAGGGGAGCUUUGACAUAUCAUCAGAUCUGAAACUGGUCAGUGGUGUGGAGCCUUCAAUCAGAACCAACCUUUCUGAAGGUUCGGCUGUGGGUGAUCGGUCAGGGUAAGGCUGGGAAGAAGUGUGAGUGGGCUCCAAGUGUGCUGAGAGCUUCAGUCAUUCAUCGAGCCUCAUGAACCACUGACUAAUUCCUACAGAUGAGAGACUGUUUGAGUGUGAGGUGUAUGAGGAGGACUCCACAGGCUCAUAUAAACUUCGAACACCCAAGGUUAUGUGUUGUACAGCAACAUGGAAGAGAAACCCUUUAAGUGUGAAGUUUGUGCCAAAGCCUUUGCCCAGUCGUCAACCCUUCUGAUGCAUCACCGCAUUCACACAGGGGAGAAACCAUUCCUUUGCGAAGUGUGCAACAAAUCAUUCUCGCAGUCUUCACAUCUUCGCUCACACCAACGCGUCCACACGGGGGAGAAACCGUACAAUUGUGAGGUAUGCAACAAGUAUUUCUCACAAUCAUCGCACCUUCGCUCACACCAACGCAUUCACACCGGGGAGAAGCCAUUCACGUGUGAGGUGUGCAACAAAUCAUUCUCAUUGUCAUGGGCUCUUCUCGAACACCAACCCAUUCACACAGGGGAGAAACCCUUCACGUGUGAGGUGUGUGAGAAAUCGUUCUCACAGUCAUCUGGCCUUCGUGCACACCAGCGCAUCCACACUGGGCUGAAACCAUUCACUUGUGAGGUAUGUGACAAAUCGUUCACACGGUUAUCGUACCUCCGUGUACACCAGCGCAUGCACACAGGGCAGAAACUUUUCAAAUGCGAGGUGUGUGACAAAGCCUUCACACGGUCCUCAGGCUUAAUGGCCCAUCAGAGGCUCCACACAGGGGAGAAACCUUUUAAAUGUGAGGUGUGUGAUGAAGCUUUUCCAAUAUCAGCAAGGCUGCUGAGACAUCAGAGGAUUCACACAGGGGAGAAACCCUUCAGAUGUGAGGUAUGUGGGGCUGCAUUCUACCGAUCCUCUAAUCUCCUCACACAUCAGAAAAUUCACACAGGAGAGAAGCCAUUCACAUGUGAGGUGUGUGGCAAAUCUUUCUCAAGGUCAUCUUACCUCCUGGUCCAUCAGAGGAUCCACACAGGGAAGUAAACCUUUCAAUGUGAAGUCUCCUUGGCAUCAUUGCUUCCGUGGCAUCAUUGACCUCCGAAGGAUUUACAUGAGUGCAAUGUUUGUGGACUCAUGGUUGAGUCUUGUGAUUUCAUGGUACUGGCUGUAUGUUCAUCGCUGAUUGAACAAGUCAAUGGUCUGUCUAUCAGCAUCAGUCCCCCAUAUGGACGGAGUGAUACAGACAGAACUUAGAACUUUGACUUGGAUUUUGAGCUAACACAGGAGCCUCUGACAGGUCUUUAUUACCAAGUUAAAGGCAAGGAAAGUAUUGAGAACAACACCAGGAAUUGUUCAUUACAUUUCUCAAUGUGACCAAAGUGAAUCACAAGGUUCUGUAGAUUGUGCUCCAAUAAUUUUGAUCUCAGAGAAACUUCAUUCCAAUCCUGCAAGAGCUUCAUGAUGGAAGGAUAUAACUGUAAGAGUGGGAGAUCUGAAACAGAAACAUUCAAAAUGUAGACUGGUGUCAAGCAAGGCCAUGUGAUAGUGACCAUUCCAUAUCUGACAGUGACUGUUCACCCUAUCAAAGGUCACCUGCCCUGUGCUGUCUGUAUGAAAUGCAGUCUUGGUGUGAAACUCAUUUACCUUAAUCUUCUCAUGCCAAACCAAAACUGAACACCAUAGAUACAUGAUCUACAGUUGGCAGGCUGUAAGACUCAACAAUUAAUAUGUUGACCACCACCCCAAGUAUCUUCAGCAAAGAACUGAAAAGUCUUGGGUAUAUGGAUUGGAGAUCAGAAGGAUUUGAACAAAGCAAAAGGGACACUUCAUUGAACACUAUGGACUGCUGCUACUGAACUGUGUUUCCCCGUUUUUUUUCCCUCCACCCAUGACAUCCAUUGUUGGUUGUUUGUGUCUGUCUGCAUGUAUUUAUUGGGGUCUAAGCCUGUUCAAGUCCUUCUGCAGCCUCCCUGUUUCCUCAACACUACCUGUCCCUCCAUCUAUCUUUGUGUUAUCUGCAAACUUAGCAACUGCAUCUGUUCCUCCAUCCAGAAUGAUCAUUUCCCUCUAAUUACUGUAUCAACUUGUUUAAUCAUCUUAAACGCCUCAAUUAAAUCACUUCUUAAUUUUUUACAUUCAAGGCAAAUACAAGCCCAGUCUGUGAAGUUCGUCCUCAUAAUUUACCCUUUUAUCCCCAGGAAUAUUCUGGUGAAUCUGCGCUGCACUCACUCCAAAGCUACUAAAUCCUUCCUGAGGUGUAGUGCAUAGAAUUGAACACAGUUCUCCGGAUGGUCUGAAACAGAGCCCUGUACAACAGGAACAUAACUUGCACAAAGACACACUGGUUUUGGGGUGAAGCCGUGGGUUAUCUUUUCAGGAUGGUCCUGGAAAAAUGUUGCAGUUUUGACAGAGGAAAGCAAGUCCACAUGUGCUUGAUGUGAUCCAGUCAGAUCAAGUGAUGGAUGGAUAAACCAUUUGUGCACCAGAUACACUCAAACCUUCAUGACUUGAACUUGAGUAGCAGUAGAUUGACCAGGAAGGAAUUGAAUAAAGGUACCUUUCAGGAUAAAGGUGUGACAGAUUGACAGCUGCAGAAACAUUGUGGUGGGCCAAAGGGCAGGGAAUUGGGAAUUAGAAAGCACUGUCCAACUCACCUAGGGGUUAAGGAUCUUCCGAGAAUGGAAACUGAUUCGUCCUUGUGAUCACUGCAUCUCUGUAACCAUCGGUGGGUUUGUAUAAUGGAAACAAGCUCCAUCUUGUGUCAUGAAAGUUCAGUGUCAUUUCUGACCAUUGGAAUUGGGAACCAGACUAAAGCACAGGAAUUUUAAAUUAACCUUUGUCUGCAGUAUUCUGAGAGAGUACCCUCUAAUGUGAGUGUGUGUGUGUUAGUAAAGUGAGCCAGCUCUCAGGAGUGGGUAUGGGGUAGAAUCAGACCCUGCUUUAGUUGGAGACACGAAUUAUAGACAGAUCCUCUUCAGGUGACGGGUGUUUGACUAAUACCAUGGGGAAUGUUUGUACUAUCCUGUUUGGGAGGACUGCGAUCCUGAGUAUGGUGAGGGAGUGGGGUUUAGUCUCUACAGAUCUCAGUUCCCUCAGCCCAUCACACAUCAGUGUAAUAACAAUGUGAUAUGUUCACCUUACACUCUUCCAAGAUUUGCUUGAUGUUCUGGGAAAGAAAUUGAAUCAUUUUGAAAUGUUUUGUUAUUUUAGUUGAUUCAAAAUAAAUUCCCU